GACGAACGCUGGCGGCGUGGAUUAGGCAUGCAAGUCGGACGGUAGGGCUUUAUCGUAAGAUAGAGUUUGAGAGUGGCGAACGGGUGAGUAACACGUAGGAAUCUACCCUUAAGACGGGGACAACCCAGGGAAACUUGGGCUAAUACCGGAUGAGAGUGCGAGAGAUUGCAUUUAAAAGGAUGGCGAAAGUUGUCGCUUAGGGAUGAGCCUGCGGUCUAUUAGUUAGUUGGUGAGGUAAGAGCUCACCAAGGCGAUGAUAGAUAGGCGGCCUUAACGGGUGGUCGCCCACACUGGGAUUGAGAUACGGCCCAGACUCCUACGGGAGGCAGCAGUCGAGAAUAGUCUACAAUGGCCGGAAGGCUGAUAGUGCGACGCCGCGUGAAGGAAGAAGGCCCUCGGGUUGUAAACUUCUUUGACCAGGGACGAAGAAAGUGACGGUACCUGGAGAACAAGCCACGGCUAACUACGUG
rnacentral:rRNA from 1 species